GCCGAAGUAGCUCAGCUGGUAGAGCACCCCCAUGGUAAGGGGGAGGUCACCGGUUCAAUCCCGGUCUUCGGCUCCC
rnacentral:tRNA from 1 species